rnacentral:rRNA from 1 species
UACGUAGGGUGCAAGCGUUAAUCGGAAUUACUGGGCGUAAAGCGUGCGCAGGCGGUUGUGCAAGACAGAUGUGAAAUCCCCGGGCUCAACCUGGGAAUUGCAUUUGUGACUGCACGGCUAGAGUGUGUCAGAGGGGGGUAGAAUUCCACGUGUAGCAGUGAAGUGCGUAGAUAUGCGGAGGAACACCGAUGGCGAAGGCAAUCCCCUGGGCCUGCACUGGACGCUCAUGCACGAAAGCGUGGGGAGCAAACAGG